rnacentral:lncRNA from 1 species
GAGGUCAUGUGGCAACCACAACAAGAGGAGGGGGAAACCGAGGAACCAAAAGGGAAGGGGGGCCCACAAGGCCCACAAUUUAAGAUCUAAAAGCACAAAUAAAAAAUAUCUUCCAAACCAAAGUGAAAAUACGAAAAUACCCUUCCGAUGACAUCUAUGAAAAAAAAAAUCACAAUUUCACAUAUUUCUAUAAUUUUAAGUUUUCAUUAUCUCUACAAAUUUUUCAAAAUUUCCCCACAAUUUCACAUCUUUCCUACAAUAUUCAAUAUUUUCACAAAAACGUACCACAAUAUUCUUAAUAUUCACAAUUCACAAUAUUCAUAGUAAUUACAAUAGUCCUAAUAUGCACAAAUCACAAUAUAUACAAUAUUCCUAAUAUUCACAAUAUUCUUAGUAAUUCACAAAAAUCACAACAUUCCUAAAUAUUCACAAAGCUUCCAAAUAUUCACAAAAAUCACUAUUUUCAUAAACCACCUAAACCUACCACCCUCAUCCCCCUGAACCACCUAACGUGAUUUCUAAGGUGUGGACAACACUUUGUGGACAAGGCAUGAGGACGGAAUGUGGUAUGUUCGAUGAAAAUUGAACGGUUGAAAACAAUUUCCAUCGAAAUGAGCUUAGGAUGAAACCGGGUCAUAAAUGAUCCGUUAGUUAAUUGAAAUGGUACUUGGGAUGAAUUCAAAAUUUCUUGGGAUUUAAAUUGUACCCCUGGACAUCAAUACUUUCCGUAUUAAGUAAGUCUUGUCCUCUUAUAAAAACACUCCAUCUCCCGCGUUUGCUCAAACAUCGUUGUCAUCGAAAACAUCCUUCCUAUUUGAAAACUUGCUUCAUGUUCUAAACCCAGCUAUAGUUGGUUUGUGGUUAUGUUGUCCGCUCUCACAUAAUUUCUAGACAGCAAUGAAGAAAAUUAGAGGACUUUUGAUGGAGGCUGUGCAGUGAGUUCGAAAGAAAGGACGUGCUUUUCACUUUAUUCGAGCUAGAUUCAUACUGCUUUUGCGAUAAUCGUGGUCAUAUUUUAUUCUCCCAGUGAAUUUCAAAAUUGGUGAGUUUUGAAGAUGGAAUCCUAGAAUUUCAUUUAGUUAUUGUUGUUAAGCAUUAUAAAUUAAGCUUGGUGUAAGGUUAAUUAUGCAUGUUUGUGGAUGUAAUUACGUGCAAUUUGUCAAUAUAUGUCAAUUUUUUUUUUUUACAAAUUAGGGUGAGUUGUGAACUUAUGAAGCUAUUUUGACGAGUUGUGUAGAUGUAGGGGCGUUAUCUGUUGUUUUGAUAAAGAUAUAGUUUUGAGUAGGGAUUGAAUUUUGUAUAUGAAAUACUGUUAAUUUUAUAGUGGU